GGGGGUGCAUUGGCUUCGACCUGGGUGGUAUCCGCCUGGGGGAAGCGGGCCGAGGUCCCCGGAUGCCUCGUUAAAAGCCGGGACAACAAACAAGCGCCAACAACUACGCGCUGGCUGCCUAGUUAGCUAGGUAGCCGUCCGCCCAGGACCGCCUGUGGCCGGGGGUCGGACGUCAUCAGCAGGCUCACGACGGCAGCUCGGCCCGGUGGCCGCCGUCGGACAUCGCAGCCGGGCUGGCCGAGAGGUCCUCCGCCUGUGGGAGCCUCGAGGCGAGACCUGACCGCAGGCUACGCCCGUAGAAGACCCAGAUGGUCACCUUGGGACGGGGGUUCGAAUCCCCCCACCUCCACCA
rnacentral:tmRNA from 1 species